AGAGUAAAGAUUGUAAGCAAGCUAAUGGGCAGAAUCAGAAAAAAAUUCAGGAGAAUAACAAUAAUAGGCCUAUCUCCUCUCGACUACCAUAUUUGUUCCCCUGAAUCACUACUUUCCUCAUCACUUUCACCAGUUUGAUUGUCCAAAUUACUC